rnacentral:lncRNA from 1 species
GAGGGGGCUACCCCCUUGCAGCGCAGCCACGAACGGACCCCCGGGCCAUAGCAGCUGCAGCGGAACCGAUCGACAGAAGAUCAUGGCCGCCGCCUCCUCCGCCGUCUCUGGCCUCGCCGGCGCCGCCCUCGCCAGCCGGCCGGCUUUCUCCACCAGUAUGUGCACAAUGCCCCUUCUUGCAUGCGCAGUUGUAUCAUGUAUGGAGGUGGAGAACUGAUGACGUUGACGAUCCUUGCGUUGCAGGCUUCGUGCGGGGCGGCCGGGUGUCGGCCAGGAACCCGCUGAUGACGAGGAACCUGGAGAGGAACGGCAGGAUCACCUGCAUGACGUGAGUACACCUCUGGCUAGCUUUGCCCAAGAGCGGCAGCGCGCGUUGUUCAUGUUGUCUCUGUGAAAUCGUUGCUGAUCGAUCUCGGCGGUUUUUUCCUUUCCCGUGUACGUGCUCGCCAGGUUUCCCCGGGACUGGCUGCGGAGGGACCUGAGCGUGAUCGGCUUCGGCCUCAUCGGGUGGAUCGGCCCGUCCAGCGUCCCCGUCAUCAACGGCAACAGCCUCACGGGCCUCUUCUUCUCCAGCAUCGGCGAGGAGCUCGCCCACUUCCCCACGCCCCCGCCAGUCACCUCCCAGUUCUGGUCAGGCUCAAGACCUCGCGCUCACGCUCUGCCUGGCCACUGUUUCUGACUUUCUGU